rnacentral:rRNA from 1 species
UACGUAGGCAGCGAGCGUUGUUCGGAAUUACUGGGCGUAAAGAGCGCGCAGGCGGUCGUUCAAGUCGAGUGUGAAAGCCCCCGGCUCAACUGGGGAGGGUCACUCGAUACUGAUCGACUCGAAGGCAGGAGAGGGAAGCGGAAUUCCCGGUGUAGUGGUGAAAUGCGUAGAUAUCGGGAGGAACACCAGUGGCGAAGGCGGCUUUCUGGCCUGUUCUUGACGCUGAGGCGCGAAAGCUAGGGUAGCAAACGGG